UAGGGAAUCUUCGGCAAUGGACGAAAGUCUGACCGAGCAACGCCGCGAGAGUGAAGAAGGUUUUCGGAUCGUAAAACUCUGUUGUUAGAGAAGAACAAGGACGUUAGUAACUGAACGUCCCCUGACGGUAUCUAACCAGAAAGCCACGGCUAACUACGUGCCAGCAGCCGCGGUAAUACGUAGGUGGCAAGCGUUGUCCGGAUUUAUUGGGCGUAAAGCGAGCGCAGGCGGUUUCUUAAGUCUGAUGUGAAAGACCCCGGCUCAACCGGGGAGGGUCAUUGGAAACUGGGAUACUUGAGUGCAGAAGAGGAGAGUGGAAUUCCAUGUGUAGCGGUGAAAUGCGUAGAUAUAUGGAGGAACACCAGUGGCGACGGCGGCUCUCUAGUCUGUAACUGACGCUUAGGCUCGAAAGCGUGGGGAGCAAACAGG
rnacentral:rRNA from 1 species